UCCCAGACUCCUACGGGAGGCAGCAGUGAGGAAUAUUGGUCAAUGGGCGGAAGCCUGAACCAGCCAAGUCGCGUGAGGGAAGAAGGCCCUGCGGGUCGCAGACCUCUUUGGACGGGGAGCAAGGCCGCCGACGUGUCGGCGGAAGGAGAGUACCCGUAGAACAAGCAUCGGCUAACUCCGUGCCAGCAGCCGCGGUAAUACGGAGGAUGCGAGCGUUAUCCGGAAUUACUGGGUGUAAAGGGAGAGUAGGCGGCAAGGUAAGCGAUAUGUGAAAGCCUUAGGCUUAACCAAAGGAUUGCAUAACGAACUAUCUAGCUAGAGUACAGGAGAGGAAAGCGGAAUUCCUAGUGUAGCGGUGAAAUGCGUAGAUAUUAGGAAGAACACCAGUGGCGAAGGCGGCUUUCUGGACUGAAACUGACGCUGAGGCUCGAAAGCGUGGGGAGCGAACAGGAUUAGAUACCCGGGUAGC
rnacentral:rRNA from 1 species